GGUCCCCUAGGCCCUUGGGACUUGGGCGUGGCUUACCAUCGCAGCCGUGGUGUGAACUGUAUCGUGCCCAGGCUCCAAUGCGCCCUGUGCUUUGAACUGGGGGCUUCCUAGGGCUUGAGGCUGCUUGAGGCUGUGCUCGUACCCCAGGGAACCGGCAGCGUUGGAACUCCGCGGCGCUGUUGCGGCUCUUGCCCCAUCCUCCAUCCCUGUGCCAAUCAGGGACUUCCUUCUAGGCCGCCUGCAUACAGUGCGAACAUAAGUAUACCCCCCUUCGCACAUUUAUUGAGCUCCUGUUGCGUGCAGAGCUUAUACAUCACACAUCUGUGACGGGCCCCUCAGUCAGGCGACGGCUCCGAGCCGCGAACACAGCCAAGAGCACCGGACCUCAGCCGAUCCUCCAAGUCCCAGCCCCUAUGACUCUCCCAACUCGGUUCCGUGACUAGAACCUGCAGCCCGGAGACUCGGAACUUUGGGCAGCCACGUGGGCGCGGGAUUCCGACAUGGGUCGCUCGUCCACAGCAACUCAACCCUAGAAGUCGCAUUUAGGGAGCCCAUGACUCUGAAGUUGACCCUGGCCUGACUAACCCUCUAACCCUCGCUCGAUCCAGGCUGAAACAUCUAGAUUUGCGGAGCGCGGGAAAGUGCCUGGAUUCCAGCGCAUCUGUAUGGCACCCGGGUCUGCGUCCACGCGGGCCUCCACGGCGCGCUUGGCCUGGCUCAGCCCCUGCAUCUACAAAAGACGCCGGUCCUUUGGAUCGCGAUGCAGUCAACAGCAGCUCCCCUAGCAGGGCCUGGCACAGAACUGGCAACCUGC
rnacentral:lncRNA from 1 species